AGCAGUCGCCGCGGUAAUACGUAGGGCGCAAGCGUUAUCCGGAAUUAUUGGGCGUAAAGAGCUCGUAGGCGGUUUGACGCGUCUGCCGUGAAAGUCCGGGGCCCAACCCCGGAUCUGCGGUGGGUACGGGCAGACUAGAGUGAUGUAGGGGAGACUGGAAUUCCUGGUGUAGCGGUGAAAUGCGCAGAUAUCAGGAGGAACACCGAUGGCGAAGGCAGGUCUCUGGGCAUUAACUGACGCUGAGGGGCGAAAGCAUGGGGAGCGAACAGGAUUAGAUACCCGAGUAGUCCCUGUCUCUUAUAC
rnacentral:rRNA from 1 species